rnacentral:rRNA from 1 species
GCGCGGAUCUUCCAGAGAUUAGAGUUUGAUCCUGGCUCAGAUUGAACGCUGGCGGCAGGCCUAACACAUGCAAGUCGAACGGUAACAGGAAACAGCUUGCUGUUUCGCUGACGAGUGGCGGACGGGUGAGUAAUGUCUGGGAAACUGCCUGAUGGAGGGGGAUAACUACUGGAAACGGUAGCUAAUACCGCAUAACGUCGCAAGACCAAAGAGGGGGACCUUCGGGCCUCUUGCCAUCGGAUGUGCCCAGAUGGGAUUAGCUAGUAGGUGGGGUAACGGCUCACCUAGGCGACGAUCCCUAGCUGGUCUGAGAGGAUGACCAGCCACACUGGAACUGAGACACGGUCCAGACUCCUACGGGAGGCAGCAGUGGGGAAUAUUGCACAAUGGGCGCAAGCCUGAUGCAGCCAUGCCGCGUGUAUGAAGAAGGCCUUCGGGUUGUAAAGUACUUUCAGCGGGGAGGAAGGGAGUAAAGUUAAUACCUUUGCUCAUUGACGUUACCCGCAGAAUAAGCACCGGCUAACUCCGUGCCUGCAGCCG